rnacentral:rRNA from 1 species
UGGGGAAUUUUGGACAAUGGGCGCAAGCCUGAUCCAGCCAUUCCGCGUGCAGGAUGAAGGCCCUCGGGUUGUAAACUGCUUUUGUACGGAACGAAACGGUCCGAGCUAAUACCUCGGGCUAAUGACGGUACCGUAAGAAUAAGCACCGGCUAACUACGUGCCAGCAGCCGCGGUAAUACGUAGGGUGCAAGCGUUAAUCGGAAUUACUGGGCGUAAAGCGUGCGCAGGCGGCUUUGCAAGACAGAUGUGAAAUCCCCGGGCUCAACCUGGGAACUGCAUUUGUGACUGCAUGGCUAGAGUACGGUAGAGGGGGAUGGAAUUUCCUGUGUAGCGGUGAAAUGCGUAGAUAUGCGGAGGAACACCGAUGGCGAAGGCAAUCCCCUGGACCUGUACUGACGCUCAUGCACGAAAGCGUGGGGAGCAAACAGGAUUAGAUACCCGGAUAGUCCCUGAGCGGGCUGGCAAGGCGCAU